CUUUUUUUAAAAUGCUGAAAAAAAAAAAAAAAAAAAAAAAAAAAAAUGAUUGGUUUCUUACU
rnacentral:ribozyme from 1 species